AGAUUAAUACAAGAUGGCAUCAUGAGUCCGCAUGUUCACAUGAUUAAAGGUAUUCCGGUAGACGAUGGGGAUGCGUUCCAUUAGAUAGUAGGCGGGGUAACGGCCCACCUAGUCUUCGAUGGAUAGGGGUUCUGAGAGGAAGGUCCCCCACAUUGGAACUGAGACACGGUCCAAACUCCUACGGGAGGCAGCAGUGAGGAAUAUUGGUCAAUGGGCGCAGGCCUGAACCAGCCAAGUAGCGUGAAGGAUGACUGCCCUAUGGGUUGUAAACUUCUUUUAUAAAGGAAUAAAGUCGGGUAUGGAUACCCGUUUGCAUGUACUUUAUGAAUAAGGAUCGGCUAACUCCGUGCCAGCAGCCGCGGUAAUACGGAGGAUCCGAGCGUUAUCCGGAUUUAUUGGGUUUAAAGGGAGCGUAGAUGGAUGUUUAAGUCAGUUGUGAAAGUUUGCGGCUCAACCGUAAAAUUGCAGUUGAUACUGGAUAUCUUGAGUGCAGUUGAGGCAGGCGGAAUUCGUGGUGUAGCGGUGAAAUGCUUAGAUAUCACGAAGAACUCCGAUUGCGAAGGCAGCCUGCUAAGCUGCAACUGACAUUGAGGCUCGAAAGUGUGGGUAUCAAACAGGAUUAGAUACCCUGGUAGUCCACACGGUAAACGAUGAAUACUCGCUGUUUGCGAUAUACGGCAAGCGGCCAAGCGAAAGCGUUAAGUAUUCCACCUGGGGAGUACGCCGGCAACGGUGAAACUCAAAGGAAUUGACGGGGGCCCGCACAAGCGGAGGAACAUGUGGUUUAAUUCGAUGAUACGCGAGGAACCUUACCCGGGCUUAAAUUGCAGAUGAAUUACGGUGAAAGCCGUAAGCCGCAAGGCAUCUGUGAAGGUGCUGCAUGGUUGUCGUCAGCUCGUGCCGUGAGGUGUCGGCUUAAGUGCCAUAACGAGCGCAACCCUUGUUGUCAGUUACUAACAGGUUCCGCUGAGGACUCUGACAAGACUGCCAUCGUAAGAUGUGAGGAAGGUGGGGAUGACGUCAAAUCAGCACGGCCCUUACGUCCGGGGCUACACACGUGUUACAAUGGGGGGUACAGAGGGC
rnacentral:rRNA from 1 species